UACGAAGGGGGCUAGCGUUGCUCGGAAUCACUGGGCGUAAAGCGCACGUAGGCGGCUUGUUAAGUCAGGGGUGAAAUCCUGGAGCUCAACUCCAGAACUGCCUUUGAUACUGGCGAGCUUGAGUCCGGGAGAGGUGAGUGGAACUGCGAGUGUAGAGGUGAAAUUCGUAGAUAUUCGCAAGAACACCAGUGGCGAAGGCGGCUCACUGGCCCGGUACUGACGCUGAGGUGCGAAAGCGUGGGGAUCAAACAGG
rnacentral:rRNA from 1 species